CACACAGCGAUAUAAUAUAAAAUUAUACAUCGGCUCCGUAUGUUAAACAGCAAUGUCAGAAAAAAACACAAUUGAAAAAAAUCCACGGAAAAAAAAUUUAGUUAUUAUAUUAUAAUUACAAUAAUUACAACGAAUAAAUAAUUAAAAUAUCGGUUUUGGUGAAAAAGGGAAUACGUCAAAUUUUACAAUUUUGCUGGAGCUAAAAAAAACUUGAUAACU